rnacentral:lncRNA from 1 species
AGCACAUAGCCUGUACUCAAGAUUACUUUCUGGUGGACUGAGGUGUGUGUGACAAAUACAGAAAUGGUUAUGCUAGGGAGGAAGGUCCUCGUAAUCAUGUAGCAUCAACAGGGUGCAAGCACUGUGAGAGGCAUUUUUAUGCUAUUAUUGUGUCUGUAAACUCGCACAACAAGAGAAGAAAGUGACAGCUGCUCUACUUACAUAGGAAAAAAACUUCAAGUAAGAGAGAUUCAUUGAGUUGCCAGGUAGAAAGUAUUAGAACUUAAAUUUGAAUCAGAUCUUUCUGUCUCCAAAGAAAGGUCUUCACAUUACCUUCCUACUGAGUUGGUUUAUAGUUAAAAGCACCUAGGUUAAGUACACAGUUCUAUGAGUUUUAAAAUAUAUAUACUCCUGGCAUCUGUCAUACAAUCAAGAUAUUGUGUCCUUGUCAUUGGCCAGAGAUAGGAGAAAGCACCUUUGGUUCUUGAGAGUAGGGAAUUGUGUGGAAGUUAUUGGUUUUAAGGUACCAUUACAGAUAAACUUGGGUGGGAUCUCAUAAGGUGAUGAUGUAGACAAGGAAGAUAGAAGAAGCAGAGGGAUACCAUAUAGGGAGGUGUUUGGGAUGAAGGAGUCCAUGCAAAGAAGUGAGAAACAAGGCUGGAACUAUAUAGUAGAGAUCUCAGUUCCAGACUAAGGAAUAAUAGAACUGAUGGCAUUUAUGGAACACUUACUAUGCACCAAGUACUUUCUUUGGAAUAUCUUAAUGAAUCCUUACAAACUCCCCUAUGAGACAGUCUUUUGUGAAUGAGAAUCAGAGACACAGGAGUUAAGUAAUUAAUACAGAGUUUGUAAGCAGAGCAGGCAUUGAAACCCAGUCUGUCAACUCCAGAACCUAUGAACCUUUUAUCCACUGUGCUGCCUUAUGGUCAUCAACUUUACUACCUAAAGUUGCUGAUUCCUCAGACCUAGAGUUUUGCAGCCUCCUACAUGAUGGUUUUAUUUUUCAAAUAGCACAAAAAUAGCCCUUUGUGAGAUUUAUGUAGGUAAGAGGGAACCUCUGCCAUUUUGAGACACUUAGCCUUCUCCAACCCAAGUUAGGGUAUCUUUGGGCCUAAUAUUUCUGCUCUCGGAAAGCCCUAGGGGUCCUAGGCAGCAAUAGUCUCUUUAAAUGUUUAUUUAUUGCAAGGGACAAUCAGGGUCAGCUAAUCCAGGACCUGUGGCGAGGCAUGCAGAGCACUGUGGCCAGGCUCUGCUCAUGGUACACACACCCCAGGGCCAUGGGCUUUUCACCCCAACCCCACCAAACUUGCUAAAAGUGUUAGAUCUAGUCUAGAAGUCUGAGGUAACUCCUAGAUGUAAAAUUCAGGAUAUAGGCCCAAGAAUUCCUGCAUCCCAGCAAGAAGGAAGCCAGACUGUCUGCUUUUACGAACUGAAUUGAGAAUUCACUUUUCCAGUGAGACUGAAGCUUUGCUGAAGAUUUAUCGCCCCCUGGAGGACAAUAGUAUAAUAUAUCUCUUCGGGUACUCUAGAAAAGAUGCCCAACUGAACUGAAAUACACAUAUUUUUUCCUAAAGAAUAGGAAAAUCAAGGCUUUGCUAAGACAACCCUUUAAAAAGAUGUCCAGGCAUCCAAAUGGCA